GAGCCAGUAGCCAGCCAGUCUAGACUGGUCUCCAGUUACACUGGACGCACACAAUGACUGGGACGCAGACAGAGGGGACACCAUGGACAAUAUGCUUAAUGGGUGAUGGGGGAAAUCAGCUGGCUGAGGUUGGUGGCGUCAGUGGGGCUCCGUGGCUCAGACCGGCCUGAGCGGAUUUAGGGUCACACCCAGCGUUUGAAAUGAACACCAGCCUAACACCAACCAAAUGCUGAUAGAUGUAAUCUGCAAAUGGUCUCCAGCUUUUUGACAAUAUUCUACUUGGAAAAGGUGAAACUUUAAUAUUGUCUCUCCUCUGUCAUAGAAAUGAUUUCAAGGUGUGAGAAGAAAACUGAAUAAAUAUCAAACAAU